AUACGAAGGGCCCGAGCGUUAAUCGGAAUCACUGGGCUUAAAGCGUACGUAGGCGGACUCGCAGGCACCUUGUGAAAUCCCUCGGCUCAACCGAGGAACUGCUUGGUGAACCGCGCGUCUUGAGGCAAGUAGGGGCUGUCGGAACGAUAGGUGGAGCGGUGAAAUGCGUUGAUAUCUAUCGGAACGCCGAAGGCGAAGGCAGACAGCUGGGCUUGUUCUGACGCUGAGGUACGAAAGCGUGGGGAGCGAACGGGAUUAGAUACCCCGGUAGUCC
rnacentral:rRNA from 1 species